UUCAAGUGUCUCGGGAUCUUGUUCAAGAGUGAGGGUAGGAUGGAGCGGGAGAUUGACAGGCGGAUCGGAGCGGCGUCAGCAGUGAUGCGGACGCUUAACCGAUCAGUGGUGGUGAAGAAAGAGCUGAGCCGUAAGGAGAGACUCUGGAUUUACCGGUCGAUCUACGUGCCGAUCCUCACCUAUGGUCAUGAACUUUGGGUAAUGACCGAAAGAACAAGAUCGCAGAUACAAGCGGCUGAAAUGGGUUUCCUCCUCAGGGUGUCCGGGCUCAGCCUUAGAGAUAGGGUAAGGAGCUCGGA